rnacentral:rRNA from 1 species
UCGGGAAUUUUGGGCAAUGGGCGAAAGCCUGACCCAGCAACGCCGCGUGAAGGAUGAAGUAUUUCGGUAUGUAAACUUCGAAAGAAUAGGAAGAAUAAAUGACGGUACUAUUUAUAAGGUCCGGCUAACUACGUGCCAGCAGCCGCGGUAAUACGUAGGGACCAAGCGUUGUUCGGAUUUACUGGGCGUAAAGGGCGCGUAGGCGGCAAUUCAAGUCAUCUGUGAAAUCUCCGGGCUUAACUCGGAACGGUCAGAUGAUACUGCUUUGCUAGAGUGCAGAAGGGGCAAUCGGAAUUCUUGGUGUAGCGGUGAAAUGCGUAGAUAUCAAGAGGAACACCUGAGGUGAAGACGGGUUGCUGGGCUGACACUGACGCUGAGGCGCGAAAGCCAGGGGAGCAAACGGGAUUAGAUACCCCCGUAGUCACUGAGCGGGCUGGCAAGGCGCAU